GACUCUUCUGCUCCAAACAACCAGGUAUCUGAGGUCAGCCCUAAUUUAGGGUUUCAAGUAAAAUCUGAUUCUAUUUCUACUGAUUCUGUGUCAAUUAAUGAAAAGAUUGAACUAAAGGAUAAUAUAAAUGCUGAUAAUGUCAAAUUAGAACUAGAUGUUGUUAAGCCUGAGAUGGUGGAACCAUCAUCCAAUAAUGUCAUCCCAGUUGGUGGCGAAUCAUAUCCAAUGGAUGUUGAGGAGCCACAAGAGAAGAAGGCAUCUGUUGAAGAGAAAGAUGACAGCAAUUCUACAAAUCCAGAUAUGAGCAAGAAAAAUGAUAUUAUAGAUGUGGGGUACUCGGAAAAAUUAAAUUUAGACAGAAGUUCUGGUGAUGAUUCUAUGGAGGAGGAUGUUGUGGAGAGUAAGCAAAUUGAUUCAAAUUAUAACUCCGAUGAUGUAGGAGACAAAAGUGAGAAAAGUGGAAUGCAUGUUGUGAAUGAGGAAAAUACUGUUGAUGUUGUGGGGAGCAACUUGUCUUUAGACCAAAAGGAAAUGAAUGUUGAGAAUAAAACUCUUCCUGCUGUGCCUGCUGAGAAAAGAAAGCUUAAUGAUCAAGAUGCUGUUGAAAGUGCGGAGCCUUUAAAGAGGCAACGCAGAUGGAAAUCUGAAGGCCUUAAGGUGCCUGAACAUCAAAGCUCUAAUGUAGCACCUGCCACUACGCCUAAGGAUGCAUCUCAGCCAACUCUUUCUAGACGCAACUUCUCACGAUCCGACUCCUCCGUUAGU
rnacentral:misc_RNA from 1 species